GAUGAACGCUAGCGGGAGGCUUAACACAUGCAAGUCGAGCGGGAAGGGUAGCAAUACCCUGAGAGCGGCGCACGGGUGCGUAACGCGUAUGCAACCUGCCUUAUACAGGGGGAUAGCCCAUGGAAACGUGGAUUAAUAUCCCAUAGGAUUACGGAGUCGCAUGAUUUUGUGAUUAAAACUACGGUGGUAUAAGAUGGGCAUGCGUCUGAUUAGGUAGUUGGUAGGGUAACGGCCUACCAAGCCGACGAUCAGUAGGGGUUCUGAGAGGAUUACCCCCCACACUGGUACUGAGACACGGACCAGACUCCUACGGGAGGCAGCAGUGAGGAAUAUUGGUCAAUGGGCGAGAGCCUGAACCAGCCAUCCCGCGUGCAGGAUGACGGCCCUAUGGGUUGUAAACUGCUUUUCUGCUCCAAGAAACCCACCUACGUGUAGGUGGUUGACGGUAGAGUAGGAAUAAGCAUCGGCUAACUCCGUGCCAGCCGCCGCUGUAACAC
rnacentral:rRNA from 1 species